rnacentral:rRNA from 1 species
CACAUAGUUAGCCGGGGCUUCCUCCUUAGGUACAGUCUUUUAUCUUCCCUAAUGACAAUAGUUUACAAUCCGAAAACCUUCUCCCUAUACGCGGCGUCACUGCGUCAGAGUUUCCUCCAUUGCGCAAUAUUCCCGACUGCUGCCUCCCGUAGGAGUCUGGGCCGUAUCUCAGUCCCAAUGUGGCCGUUCAACCUCUCAGUCCGGCUACUGAUCGUAGUCUUGGUAGGCCGUUACCCCACCAACUAACUAAUCAGACGCAAGCCCAUCUAUCAGCGGAUUACUCCUUUCCUCACUGUAUCAUGUGAUACUGUGAGCAUAUGCGGUAUUAGCAAUGAUUUCUCACUGUUAUUCCCCUCUGAUAGGCAGGUUGCUUACGUGUUACUCACCAGUCCGCCACUAACCGCUCUCAAUCUAAAAGAUGAGUUAAGUCCGUUCGACUUGCAUGUCUUAUGUGCGCCGCCAGUCGUUUUAUCCUGAGCCGAGGACUACGAAACUUCC